UACGUAGGGGGCUAGCGUUGUCCGGAAUCAUUGGGCGUAAAGCGCGUGUAGGCGGUCCGGCAAGUCUGCUGUGAAAGUCGGGGGCUCAACCCUCGGAUGCCGGUGGAUACUGUCGGGCUUGAGUACGGAAGAGGCGAGUGGAAUUCCUGGUGUAGCGGUGAAAUGCGCAGAUAUCAGGAGGAACACCGAUUGCGAAGGCAGCUCGCUGGGACGUUACUGACGCUGAGACGCGAAAGCGUGGGGAGCAAACAGG
rnacentral:rRNA from 1 species